UACAAGUCUUUUAAGCACCAUAAAACAUCACUUUCCACUUAUACCCUCCUACUCAAAUAAACACGGGAUAAUACGUUUAGGGUUUCAUACUUUCAUUCUUUAUCCGCCCCCAUCUUUCCUUCCCUCUUCUCUCUCCUUCGUUUUCCAGAAACCCUAAAAUCGCAAGGCCACUUCCCCCGGUACAAGAGCUUCGGUGUAGUUACAGUCUGUGGAAAAAAGAUCCAGAUGAAUAUGGAGCGGUGGAGAUACACGAGCCAGAAGGAUGAAGCUUUGCAGAUCUGAGUUUUUAGCGACAUUCAAGAACGAUACAAACAAAAUUCUUGCGUCAAUCAGAAGGAUGAAGCUUCGGUGUAGUUGAAAGCAGGAAACAAGCAGAGCUAGGGAAGAUGACAAGCCCGGAUCUGAUAGGUUUGCUUCGGUAUAGUUGCAAUCGGUGGAUAAAGAUGGAAAUCAGAUGAAGAUGGAGUGAUGUAGAUGACAAGCAAAAUAUUGCCUCUAUCUGAGGCAGAGGUUAUACGUGAAGGUAGUGACAUAACUCUUGUUGGCUGGGGAGCUCAGCUCACUACCAUGGAACAAGCUUGUGUCGAUGCUGAAAAGGUGUAGUGGUCGAUGUUGCGUUGGUUGGUAUGUUGGCGCCUUGUACGCAUAUCCGAAAGCAGUCGGUGAUUUGGUCCAGCGGUUGGCGGCAACUGGCGGAGGUGCUACCUCAUUCGGCAUUUGUCACACAUUCCGGUGGCUGCUGGCCACAUGCUGUCACACAUCAGACCUCCAUUCGGACCUGUAUUGGCUGGUUCUAUGCUGGUAAAGGUUCCAGGUUAUACGUCUGGGCUGGUCAGCUGUUGAAGACCCAGUUCUGUUUCACUAUGCAGACUCAAGGGGACCGGGGUUGGGCUGGUAUUAUUCGUUGUAUCCAGAUCACUUUGCCGAGGCUGGCGAUCAUGGUAUGAAGAAAUGGAUUUGUUGUAAUGGGUGCUUUGAGCCAUACACUUCGAGUAUCUACCGUCGUAGAGUUUUGAGUGGUGAAUUUUUGCAGUGAACAAGCAUUUGCUCUAUGAAUUCAUUGAGAUGGGCCUCCUAAGUGCUGGUCCAGAUGGUUGUGUUUCGGUCUCUAAGGAAGUAUGAAUCAUCCUACUUAGACAAUGAUGAAGAAUCUGAUCUUGGCAACAAGAAGAUUUUAGACUUUUAGUUAACAACCCUGCAGAUGGUGAAAUUAUAGCUACUGUUCCAUGCAUGGGUGAGAUGGAAACGAAAGAUGCGAUUUCGGCAACGUAUGAUGCUUUUACCCGUAUGGAGCCAAACAAUCUCUUAUAGCUAGAUAUGUGCCUGUUACGCUUCAUUGUAAAGGGGAAAGGGAUUCAGAUGCAAACAACCUCUAAGAGAAGCUAUUGCAGAGGUCCGGUUGGUGUGGUUGGUGUAAUCACUCCAUGGAAUUUCCCCAUCGCAAAGAUUGCUCGCAAGGUUGGCCCUGCUCUUGCCUGUGGCUGUACUAUGGUCAUAAAGCCCUCUGAGCUCACACCAUUGACCGCCUUAGCAUUGGUGAUUCUCUACUAGAGAGCACACAGGUCAGGAAGAUAACAUUUACUGGUUCCACCAUUGUUGGAAAGAAGCUGAUGGCUGGUCCAUCAAAGACUGUUAAAAAGGUAUCUCUUGAACUUGGUGGUAACGUGCCUUGCAUAAUAUUCGAUGAUGCUGACCUGGAAUUGGCAGUGAAGGGGAGUUUGUCAACUAAAUUCAAUAACACUGGACAACAAUGUGUAUGCACAAAUAGAAUACUUGUGCAAGAAGGUAUGUAUUAGUGAGUUAUAGAAGUUAAAGGAGUGCUUUUGUAAUUGUCAGUUGUAAAAGGGGUCAGUUGUAAAUGAUUAAUUAACUCAGCUUGGCUGCUACUUGUUUAAUCUUUUGCAAUAAAGGAUUACCAGUCAACUUAAAAAGUCUAUUCAACAAGAUAACUAAGAAGACAAUAUUGGGUUGAAUUUUUGUACAUGUUUUCUAGAGGAUUGUGUUGUGUGCAAAGGAACUACGGAUAAUAUAACUGUGUUUCUUGCAGCCUGAAGAAAGGCAGCCGUUUUCCCCCUUCAUUUGCUGAAUGAUUAGACAAGGCAGUAAAACUCAAGUUUUCACUUGCCCUAUCAUUGGACAAUAAUUACUUUCCAAGACAUGGAGGCUGGUAAUUGCCAAUAGAAUGUAAUGAUUUUUACAUAUUCUUGUAUCUUGAUAAUUGCCAACAGAAUGUAUUGAUUUUUCUUUUGCCAAAAUCUGUUGAUUAUAUAGUUGUAGAGAUUGUUUAACCUGCUAAUUCUCUGUGCUAGCAAAAAAUGUUAAUUUCAUUGUCCCGAAUACUUAGGUUAUCACACCCUACUUAUUCCGAAACCAAACUUGACUUGACUUGGUCUCAACUUAAUAUGUCGGCUAAUCUUGGUUAUCAAUUAAUUCGGUUCGGUUGGGUUGUGGUCCGGACCUGGUUAACUGUUAACUAACAUCAAUACUAACCAGUAAUACAUGAGUACUUCCUAAUAACACCACGAGA
rnacentral:lncRNA from 1 species